ensembl:lncRNA
GAACGGCCGGUUAUCACACUAGGGGGCGAGCGAGAGCAGCGGGGCGGAAGUGAGACCGUUAAAUCAAACCACCGAGGAAGACGGGAACGUUAAACACUGGCCGUUUCUCAAUACCUAAGACGGCGAGAACGGACUCGCGUUCCCGCGAGAAUAGACUCGGGAGACAGACUCGGGAGUCCUGACUCACGGGUACGGGAGAACGGAGAACGGACAUUUCCGCAAUUGGAACAGCAGCUGACUUGAUGACGUCACCACAGUAGGCGGUCUUUGUUUACGCACGCAAGUGGAAAUGUAUAAAAAGCCAGCAGCGUGUUAACGGUUGUGGAAGGUGUUUGUUGAAACAUAUUGGUAUUAUUAUAUUUAAUAAUUAAUUAAUUUGAGUAGUAACUACAUGGAUCCGAUACAUACUGCUGUUGCGGUCGGCAAACUGUAUAUAGAAGCUGAAGAGGAGGCUGCCCAACUCAGGAGAAACAUACGCAAGCGAAAAUCCAAGAUGAGGCGAAGGAUGGCGAGGAGACGUGCCAUAAUAGCAUGUCUCGCUUUCUUUGUAAGUUUAAUUCAGUAUAAAGCAUUGAUGAUAUGUAAUCAUUUAUAUUAAUGUCAGCUGUGGUUUUCUCUGCUGUUUGACUGUUGUGGCUGAUACUGCAAGGUGGUUGGAAUACAGAUUGUUUGGAGCAAUGCCCUCAAAGGCACAUUACAGAAAAGAUACCUUUUACAUACGAAACCUACAGAUGUUAUUAAUGAUAGGGCAGUUGUUAUGUGUAUCAAGGUUAGCUUAAUCCAGGCCUAAUAAACCACCAGGUACAGAGGAGGUUCGAUACGGUAACAGCAUCUGACCAUCGAUUAGCCUACUGAAGCAUACACACCUAAUGGUCGUCUUGGUAUUCAAACAUUAAGAGGUUGGUAUUCAGAUGGACAGUGCAAUAAACAUCAUUAUGCGUUACUACAAAACGCAGCAAGACCUCAUUCAUUAUGGAAUCCAUGGAAACGUUUUUAUUAACUAUAUAAAAUAGUCAAAGCAUAAUCGUAAAAUGCAGCAUUUCUUUAAUAUUACGAACUGAAUAACCAAUUUAACAAUAUUAAUACAGUUGUUGCAUUUGUUUAUUACAGAACAAACAUCCUGUUACUAAAUAUGCUGUGAUGAAGAAUGAUGUCCCCAUCAAUAUUUCAGAUGGAGAUGGCCCAAGACCCUGGCCCUCCUCAUAAUUACACACUGAUAGAAGCUCAAUACUCACUCCCAUCCAGUCUUGCUGGAGUUUCGUUGGCCUGUGAACAGGCUUUCGUUGCCCGCACGCCACUCUAUGAGGGCUUGGGUUUCCUCAGUUGUCCCUUAUUGAAGAUAUCACGGUCAUAUUAGUUCAAAUGCACAAUGACACCCAUUAUUACAAGCCUGCACAAUAUGGAUAGACAGCCAAACAAUUUGGUCUAAGAUAUAAAGACCAUGACGUUCAAUUUAAACAUGCCGCUAUGAAUCUAAACUCCGUACUUUAACAUAUUUAACUAACGUUAAAUGACCGAAAAAUAAACUAACAGUAGACGUCAUACAAAGCAAAACGAAUUGUAUGUGUCAUGUUUAACUGCUACUUUAAUACCAGCAUCACAUUAGAAGAUGAUUCUCGAGAAUAGGCGGCUGGAAUGAGCGCUGACCGCCCGGUGCGCGAGAGGUUACGUUAUAACGGCUCCGUUAGAUUUGGAGGCAUUUUUUUUAAAUAGGCUGAAUGUUGACCACACAUUUGUUGCUUAAACCGCUAACUUGUAUCCUUAAAAAGUGUUCACAUCACAUUCCGUUAAUUAACAAUAGUGGUAUUUAAUAAAAGACGACUUACAGUUGUGCGUUUUCUCAUCUUCCAUCGCAGCUUGCUGAGGUGAAAUGCAUUCUGGGAUAUAUGUCUCUCACAAGAACAGACGAGCCUGCUUCGAUGCAUGCCCGGGAAAAUGGGCGGGGCGAGUCACAUCCGGGUAUUAUGACCGUUCUCGGCCAGAUGCGGACUUGAGAAUUGGAACAGUACUCGGGCUGUGACUGAUGACGUUUCACGAGUCCACGAGAACAAAAGUCCACACGAGAACGCAUAUUGAGAAACGGCCAGUGUAAUACGACUACUGGACGCGAGGGGCGAGCGAGAGCGAAAUGCAGGAAGUGUUCCACGUAUUAAAGCAGGGGGGUCCAAACUUUUUUCACUGAGGGCCACAGACAGAAAAAUAUGCGAAAGGUUGAGCCGCUCACUAAAGUUAAGGUAUAUCACCUCUAGUGUAUUAACAGUAAUACAAAUCAAUCAAUCAAAUGUAGGUAAAUUAUGCUUGAUAAUUUAUUAUACUUACAGAAAAAACUGCAUACAUCACAUCUUUCUAUGUUUGGGUUUUCAUUUAUCUAUUUUCAAAUAAAAUCAAUCAAAUGUAGGUAAAUUAUGUUUGAUAAUUGAAUAAACUUAAAGAAAAAAAACUGCAUAAAUCACAUCUCUCCAUUAAUGGGUUUUCAUUUUUUUUACGAAAAGGGUUGGCAGCUCAUCCUCAGAUUGCUUCUUUGUCAGGAUGGGGACCCCCUUCACAGCCCUGUAUCACAGAGACGGCUGUCGCUCAUUUUGGUUCUCAAUCUGCUUUUGUUCAGAGUUAACAGAGAAAAUGUUUGCUCGCAUAUGUAUGUUGUGCCAAACAGACUGGUCAUUCUUUUUGCGUGGCGUCGCAUCAGAGGAAACUUGGCCUUUUCCAAGCUCCGGUAGAAGUCGGGUAGGGAGAGGAGCUGCAUCUCGAUGAGUUCUAAUUGCAGACUCUCUUCCACUUCUUCUGCAUCCAGCAGGAAGGGAGUUGAGAACAGCUUGAUUUCUUUCUCAAUGACAGAAACAUCUUGGAAGCGCUGAUUGAAUUGUGUCAUAAGAGUUGUCAUCACAGAAACAUAUUUCCUCUUUUUAGCAGAGAGGUCGGCCUUUGGAUGAG